AAUCUCAGAUCGGGGAGGUAGUGACGAAAAAUAACAAUACGGGACUUCUAAGAGGCCUCGUAAUUGGAAUGAGUACAAUAUAAAUCCUUUAGCGAGGAUUUUUUGGAGGGCAAGUUUGGUGCCAGCAGCUGCGGUAAUUCCNGCUCCAAUAGCGUAUAUUAAAGUUGCUGCGGUUAAAAAGCUCGUAGUUGAACUUAAGUUCAUGAAGGGCGGUCCCUUUAUGGUGUUUCUGCUCUCUCACUGAACAUUCAGUCGAUUAGUCCGGAGAUCCUCUUCACCGAGUGUCUCUGGCGAUCGGCAACUUUACCUUGAAAAAAUUAGAGUGCUUAAAGCAGGNUACUGGCCNGAAUAUUCUUGCAUGGAAUAAUGGAAUAGGACCUAGGUUCUAUUCUGUUGGUCUUUUGAACCCCUGGUAAUGAUUAACAGGGACAGACGGUGGUAUUCGUAUGCGCGC
rnacentral:rRNA from 1 species